rnacentral:rRNA from 1 species
AGGACGAACGCUGGCGGCGCGCUUAACACAUGCAAGUCGAGCGAGAACCAGGGCUUCGGCCCUGGGGAAAGCGGCGAACGGGUGCGUAACACGUGAACAACCUGCCCUCGUGUGGGGGAUAGCCGGGCUAACGCCCGGGUAAUACCGCAUACGGUCCUUUGGGGGAGUCCCUGAGGGAAGAAAGCUCCGGCGCACGGGGGAGGGUUCGCGGCCUAUCAGCUAGUUGGCGGGGUAAUGGCCCACCAAGGCGACGACGGGUAGC